GCCUGGAUGCGAUUUUUGACACCCGGAUACCGGUUUUAAACCUGGUACCCGGGUUUACAUAUAAAACCAUCGAAAACCCUAGCGCCCCCCUUCGAAUCACACUCAACUCUCUCUCUCUCUCUCUCUCUCUCUCUCUCUCCUCUGCGAAGUGCGAUGCCCUACGCCUCCCUCCCUCCGAUUCCUUUCUCUCAUCUGCUCUCUCUCUCUCGCUCUGCUCUACGUCUGGGUCUGCGUUUGCGUCUGCGAUGCCCUAGUCCCUCCUGAAAUUACUCUCUCAUCUGCUCUAUCUCUCUCUCUGCUAUCUGCGAUGCCGAACGGUGGAAGUGCUUGAGCUUGGGAUCCAAGAUAUUAGAACGGAUUUCCGUUUGGGAUCUCUCAGUCAAAUUACUUGAAGUUGCUAUUUGAUGUGGAGAUUAAAUCAUUGAUAGACAUGUUAUUGAUUUUGCAAUUCAUACAUUGUAAUUUUGUAUAUUGUAAUGUAACAUAUAAAUAUCAAAUAAUGUAAUAUGUAAUGUAUUGUAUUGUGAUGCAUGCAUGGAUGAAUUUAUGUAUUUAGUAUUUAGAACA